UUAACUGCUGAAUGUGCCGAGACAUUUAUGUCCUUGUGGUGCUUAUUUAUUAAAAAUAACUAUCUUACUUGUGCCAGCAGCUGCUGUAAAAAUGCAAUCUUCUGCUCUAACAUAAUAUGGUGGUAAAUGGAAUUUCUGUUAUUUAAUAUUUGAAAACUGUUGUUCAGAUAAUGGUGAUAGAUUAGUUAAAUCUAAUAUUUGUAUGUUGUCAUUGCUGCAUAAUGUGAACUUUAAUGUCAAGAUGAUGAAAGCUUGGGUUAGCAAUGGUCAUUUGAACCAAAGGAGGAUAUUGGUUGUGUGGUUUCAUGUCUUGCAAAAGGGUGCUUAGAUAAUUUUGUCAUUUUGUAGCUCUGUUUGCUGCCUUAUGCUGAAGAACACACACCCUUCUGUUUGCCUACUUCUUCCUUUUGUUGUCAUCUCAUUGUUGCAGGCUUUUAUAUCACUUCCUGCUCGGCUCUGCCUGGGACAAUGGUUUUCAGUUUUUUAAUGGGUCUGUGAGUUCUGAGGGAUUUUUGAAACGUUACAAACCCAAGCCUGCAGUGGGUUAUCCGGGGGCAGCUGUAGGACCCAGCAGGCAGCAAUGCAAACCCUUCAACAACCUGUGGGUUUUUUAGUCUGCCAGACUUGUUCUAGCCAUUGUGACAGAGGAGGAGUUCUGUGAAAUAUAUAGGAAAGUUUCUUCUGUUUUGUUACCCCUGAACAGUGGUUUCAGCAUGGGGACAGUCCCACGGACACGAGGUUUUUCAGCCUUUUCAAUGGUUUACAGUCAGAGCAGCAGAACAGGGUUUGGUGUUAGGCAGGACCCCCAGAGCAGAGCCAGGUCCCUCCCAGGCAGGCGAAGGAUGGGGCUGGAGCUGAGCUGCGUUCAGGAGCAACCUACACGGAUCACAGGGAGCCAGGGACAGCACUCGUGACAGGGCACUGUGACAGUUCUUUAGAGGAGAAUAUUCCAAGGAGCCUCACCAUCAGUUUAAUGUUUCAAAAUCAUUCUGGUAGCAACUUAUGCAGUGCUGACACAAAAGAAGGAAGAGCGAAGCCUGUGUGAAAUGUGCCUUCAGCUGGACAUGGAAACUGCUGAGCUGUUUCUGAGCCAAUACAGAAUACUAAGAAGAGGUGCAAGUUUGGGCUACUGGGAGGUUCCAGUAUCUGCGAGGAACUAUGGCCCUGAACCAGGCCUUUAUGAUUGGAUGUGAUAGCUAUGGAACACACGGCCUCCUGCUGCAAGUCUUAUUCAACAGUUCAGAUGGGAUUUGUGUUGUGUAACUUGAGCCACAGAUUACUUGAAGUGGUCUGAUACAAUUUUCAAAGGUGCAUUAAGCACAGCCAAAAGACAAUGCAAGAAUUGGCAUUUGCUGACUGACUCCGUUUUCUUCUCCAUCUGGUAAAGACAAGGGGAAGACAGAGACUUAAGUCCCAAAAUGGAAAAGGAGAAUUGCUCAAGCUGAAGAAAUAUUAAAGAAGAAGAAACCCAUCAGUUUAGUCAAUGCACAAAAUGCAAUAUGAAAUGAAGCUAGUAACGCUGUAAUGAAGAACCUGUUCCAGAAUAAUCCUUACUUCCAUUUUUUUAUGGUACAGUUAUGCCUACUUCUCUGAAGCUUUUCCCCCUGUCUGAAGAGGAUUCACCUGGCUGGCAGCCAUAUGGAGUCACAGCACAGUGGGAUUGUACUGCUCAUAUUUAUCUGGAAUUGUUCUCUAAGAGCAGGAGGAGGCUAAGCCAUUUGGAAUGACUGCAUUGUAUUUAGAUUAACAGAGAUGUAUCACAGUGUUGUUUCCUGGUAUUAUGAAGGAGUGUACCUGUGUGUACAUGCUUCAUAUUCCAGAAUAAUAACAAGACACUGCUAGUAAUCUUGUGGUUUAUUAACAUUUUUGGAUAAGAGCAAGGUAAAAGAAAGUGUGGCUUUUGCACAAGGCAGAAAGGUGGUUCAUAGAUGCAUAUCCCUGCCUUGUAUUUCCAUUGCCUUAUAUUUCUAAAUUCUAAUUUUCAGUGGGCUCUGGGGAGCCAGGGAAAAAAGGAAGUUUGUGAAAGACAGGGAGUUGAAGCCAUUUCCAGUAUAGAAAAGUCUGUCAAAAUAGAAAUCUGCCUACAAUGAAAGACUUAUUUCUUCUAGCAGUGUAAAUCAAUUACUAAUAGCUCCACUUAGGAACCAGGGAAAGCAGCUUGGAAAAACCUUCCUGAGGUGAUACAGUCCAAUCUAAGAGUGGCAUUCCUAUUAUGAACUAGGCAUAUCUUGCAGCAGAUACCCUUGGUAGAAAUUUGUACUUUCCAUGAGAAGGCUCUAAAGCAAUACCCUGAGCAGCUUUAGUAGUUACUGUACAAGUGCUGCACAGGAUUGUUGUUGAUGGCUCAACAGACUCCUUCAGUCAGGGGGUACUCUUGGCUCUGUAGUUCCAACUCCAGCCCAUCUUCCAGUCAAGGCUUAUUAUACAGGUAAGUAGCAGAGCACUUCUUUGUGCAGGGAAGAAAAAAGAAGUGUUGUAAUCUAGAGGUCCUAAACUGCACCACUUUCUCUGCCCACUGCCUUAGUGGGAUACACAAAGUGGGAUGCUGUUACCCCAACUGUUAGUGCCUCAGAACUUUUAUUGCCUGCCUUUUUUUAUCUGUAGUCUCAUUUCUAGGAGGCAGGACUCAACUAACUUGGUUUUGCAUUAACUGCCUGUAGUAUGUGCAUGGCUCAAAAGGCACAGGAUGUUACUCUGGAUAUGGUUCUACGAGUUCAUGCUUGUCUCAGUCAGUGGUGUAUUUCUGGUCAUGCAGCAACCUCACUCCCUCCUUCACACUUGAGCUGUUCUGGUUUGAGCCCUUGGCUGGAGAGUUCUACUUGUUUAAU